GGAAAGGUGCUAGAGUGGUCGAUUAGGACGGUCUCGAAAACCGUUGUCCCUUUUUCGGGGACCGAGGGUUCGAAUCCCUCCCUUUCCG
rnacentral:tRNA from 1 species